UACGGAGGGUGCAAACGUUGCUCGGAAUUAUUGGGCGUAAAGCGCACGUAGGCGGACCAUCAAGUCGGUUGUGAAAUUCCUCGGCUUAACCGAGGACGUGCAUUCGAAACUGAUGGCCUUGAGUACGAAAGAGGAUCGCGGAAUUCCCGGUGUAGAGGUGAAAUUCGUAGAUAUCGGGAGGAACACCAGUGGCGAAGGCGGCGAUCUGGGUCGAUACUGACGCUGAGGUGCGAAAGCGUGGGGAGCAAACAGG
rnacentral:rRNA from 1 species